rnacentral:rRNA from 1 species
UACGUAGGGUGCGAGCGUUCAUCGGAAUUACUGGGCGUAAAGUGUGCGCAGGCGGCCGAGCAAGUCGAGUGUGAAAGCCCCGAGCUUAACUUGGGAACUGCGCUCGAAACUACUUGGCUAGAGUGUGGCAGAGGGAGGUGGAAUUCCACGUGUAGCGGUGAAAUGCGUAGAGACCGGGAAGAACACCAGUGGCGAAGGCGGCUACCUGGACAGGUACUGACGCUGCAGCGCGAAAGCUAGGGGAGCAAACAGG